UGGACAGAUUAUUGUAUUCGGCUGUAUUCACGGCGUGAAACAGAGGAUUACACUGUUUUUAGACGAAAACUGAAUCAAUUAACAUAAUAGUCUCCU
rfam:Nicotiana attenuata strain TT chromosome 1, whole genome shotgun sequence.